rnacentral:rRNA from 1 species
UACAGAGACUGCAAGCGUUAUUCGGAUUCACUGGGCGUAAAGGGUGCGCAGGCGGCCGUGUGUGAGGCGUGAAAGCCCGGGGCUCAACCCCGGAAUUGCACCUCAAACUACAUGGCUAGAGCAUUGGAGAGGGUAGCGGGACUCACGGUGUAGCAGUGAAAUGCGUAGAUAUCGUGAGGAACACCAGAGGCGAAGGCGGCUACCUGGACAAUUGCUGACGCUCAGGCACGAAAGCGUGGGGAGCAAAAGGG